UAGUCUAGCCUGCUCACUGACAAAAGUGUUAAAUAGCCGCGGUAUUUUGACCGUGCAAAGGUAGCAUAAUCAUUAGUUUUUUAAUUGGAAACUUGUAUGAAUGGUUGGACAAAGAAAAGACUGUCUCUUUUAUUAAAAUUGAAAUUAACUUCUAAGUGAAAAGGCUUAGAUUUUCUAGAGGGACGAUAAGACCCUAUAAAGCUUCAUAAGUUAAAUAAAUUAGAUGGAUUUUUAGAAUAAAAGUAAAUUUAGUAAGCUUAUUUAGUUGGGGCGACAAGGGUAUAAAAUUAAAUAACUGCUAUUAAGGUUAGACAAUUAUAUUUGGUUGGAUUGUAAUUGAUCCUCGCUAUGGAUUAAAAGAUUAAGUUACUUUAGGGAUAACAGCGUAAUUUCUUUUAAGAGUUCUUAUCAAAAGAAAAGUUUGCGACCUCGAUGUUGAAUUAGAGGGGUCUUUUAUAGUGCAGAAGCUAUAAAAAGAAGGUCUGUUCGACCUUUAAUU
rnacentral:rRNA from 1 species